rnacentral:rRNA from 1 species
AUGCAUCGUCUUCUCCGCCGCACCCGCUCGGCCGACUUCGACGCGCCGGCGUCCACUCCGUUUGCCGCCGUUCCCGUCGCCGCGGCCACUACUGCUGCGGCUGCACCUCCUCAGGCAGCUCCCGCUGCUACGGUCACCACCACCCCGGCUGCACCCGCGCCCCGCCGUGCGCACCUCGGUGACCUGGGCAAGACGCCAGUCCCUGAAGCCGUUGUGGCUCCUUCCUCGUCCACCUCGGCGCCCCGUGCGGCGCCCUCUGCCCAGCCAGCCACCGGCGUCCUGCGCACCGCCGACAGCACCCCCGUCCCGCGUCUCACGCUGGGCGGCCCCGGCAGCGCCGUCGUCACCCACCUCGGCCCGGGGCGCUCCGACGCCGGUCCUUCCUCAACUGCCGGUCUCCCGCCCUCCAUCGCCCACUACUUCACCAGCAAGCUUCACCUCGAGUCCGGUAACUACUCGCGCUGGCGUCAACUCUUUUACAUCAUCGCUUGCAAACAUGAGGUUCAGCAUCAUCUCGACGCCGCCACCGACCCACUCGGCCAGAGUGUCGUGUGGUGCAACGACGACCUGUCCAUGGUGUUGUGGAUGCACGGCGUCGUCGCCGAGGAGCUCCUGGACGUCGUGGCGUCCCCGGACAGCACCGCCUACGACAUCUGGUCCCAGCUCCACGUCCUCUUCAUGGACAAUCAGCCGGGCCGCGCCGUCGUCCUCGGCGAACCUCGUCCAGGGCGACCUCUCCGUCGCCGAAUACAGCAGGAGGCUCAAGUCCCUGGCCGACGCUCUCGAGGACGUCGGCGAGCACAUCUCCGAUCAGGCCCUCACGCUCCAGCUCAUCCGCGGCCUCAACCGCAAGUUUCAGAUCAUGGCGACGCGCCUCCCGAUGCAGUCGCCGUUCCCCUCCUUCGUGCAGGCCCGCUCUCGUCUCCUCAUGGAGGAGAUCUCUGCCAACGAGCGGGCUAG